rnacentral:lncRNA from 1 species
AAUUUUUGAAACUCGCAUCUGAAUCCGCGGUGAGUUUUUGUUUUGGCAUUCUGUAAGACAUGUACUUAAGUUGAAUGCACACUAGCGACACAGUUGCGAGUACGGCGGCGAGUCGAACUAAAGUUGAUGCGAGAUUUUGACGUUUUUAGUAUGAGAUGACAGAUGUAUCCGCAUUCUGUAAGGGUGAUUCCCCGUUCACUUCGCUAUUCACUUCACUUACGAACUCGAUUUGAUCUGUCAAAUAAAAAGUUGAUGUUCGUCGAGUGAAAUUAGUUAUUUGCUGGUGAUAUCGUGUCUAAUAAGACUCAAUAAGUUUCAAUUAAGGUAAUUUAAUAGAUUAAUGUUUAAAAAACUUUAGUGUAGUAUUUUAUCUGGUGCUAGUGUACAUGUUUCUUCUGUUGAAAAUCGCUCAAAUGUUUUUAUUAUUAAAGUGUUUAUUAGAGGAAGCUCAUACUUUGGACAAUUUUGAGUUACGUCGACAAGCCUAUGAAAUUCGUAGUCUGUCUCUAUUGACCCGAGAUGAUAACUAUGUCAGCGUAUAUAGUCUUUCGAAGCAAUUAAUCGACCAACUCGAGCUUGAGUUGCUCCCUAUAAUAAAAAAGUACCAAACGUCGAAGAAAAGGACUUACAACUCGUAUUAAGGUUUCAUGAAAAAUUGACAAUUUCAAGAUGACAUUGGCAGCAUUGAUGGCACUCUCGUAACUUAAAAAGACCGGCUGAGCAUGAAGAGCGCUUCUUCUGUCGUAAGAAUUAUCAUGCUAGGAUGUGCAAUUGAAAAAAUAUCAUGUGCAAUUGAUUACAGAUGACAGUUUUAUUUUUAAUGAAGAUGUAAGAGAUCACUUAGAGGCUUUGACAAAUGCUGGUGAAGAAAUUGUUUUGUUUGGUGGUUCUGGAUAUGCUGAGCGGGCUAACCUUAUGACACCUAUAAAUAAUGCCCCAGACAAUACUCCUGAAACAUAUUAUAACAUGCUUGCGCAACUCCGUAAAACGCCAAAUGGUUUGUUGAAGACGCUUCAGGUGUUUGUUAGUACACAGGGUCCUAGACUAUCAUCCUGAUAAAGUUGAAAUGCAUGUUGUAUUCUGCAUAACGUGUUCAACCGGGCUGGAAUGGAGGUAGUUAAUUUGACUGAAGAUGAAAACCUAGAGGAAGCUCAGGUGGCAGCCGAGACACAGAGAAGGCAACGUGCCAAAUCAUGAUAAUUUAAAUGUUGGACGGUCGCAAAGGCCUCAAAGGACAAAGAAAAAAAAGUCAAAGAUCUUGUGAAUAGAUUGUGGUGAUCGCGUCGACGUUAACUCCACCUCAGUGUGAGAAGAGUAACAGAACCUUAGGACUAAAUAUUUUAAUUAUCUAUGUAGAUCUAGUUAUAGUACAUACUAAGGAAUAACAGGUAAUUUAGAGGUAUAGGUGAGUGUGUUGUUAUCAUACAGAAUUACCUACUUUGUGUAAUGUUAUACAAUACAAUUGUAUAUAAUAGGCUAUUAUUACUUUAGGGUCUGCUAUUAACUUCAAAAUUGUAUUUUAUGAAUAAAUAACAGUUUUUUAUUAUUAUUUAUAUUUAGUACUAAGAACAUUGAAAAAAAAAAGAUUGUAAUAUAAGCAAAACCAGAAAAGAAACAACGAAUAAUAAUAAUAUAACGUAUAAUAAUCUACUUUAAAACUUGAAAAUAUAAAAUUACAAUUUAAAUACUUAUUUAUUUGACCCCAGUUCAACCUAAUAGCUUCUGCUAGCGCAUUUAAUCCUUCCUCCACUGCCGCCACAGCGUUAGCGGCAAUUCCGUCUCUCUCAAUGCUGCGCUUCAUCAUGGUCGCCUUGACCGAUGCAUUGGGCCGCUGAAUUUCUAACUGCUGCUCUUCAACUCACUGAAAUCUGUAAGAGUAAUAGUAGUUUAUUUCAGCACAUAAAUGUAGUCAAAAUAACAUUAGAUCAAAUAAACUGAAAUACGUACUUCUGAAUGUCCACUGCUUUGUAUUAAAGAGUGAGGCUGGGGAACCAAUUG